GAUGAACGCUGGCGGCGUGCCUAAUACAUGCAAGUCGAGCGAACAGACGAGGAGCUUGCUCCUCUGACGUUAGCGGCGGACGGGUGAGUAACACGUGGAUAACCUACCUAUAAGACUGGGAUAACUUCGGGAAACCGGAGCUAAUACCGGAUAAUAUAUUGAACCGCAUGGUUCAAUAGUGAAAGACGGUUUUGCUGUCACUUAUAGAUGGAUCCGCGCCGCAUUAGCUAGUUGGUAAGGUAACGGCUUACCAAGGCAACGAUGCGUAGCCGACCUGAGAGGGUGAUCGGCCACACUGGAACUGAGACACGGUCCAGACUCCUACGGGAGGCAGCAGUAGGGAAUCUUCCGCAACGGGCGAAAGCCUGACGGAGCAACGCCGCGUGAGUGAUGAAGGUCUUCGGAUCGUAAAACUCUGUUAUUAGGGAAGAACAAAUGUGUAAGUAACUAUGCACGUCUUGACGGUACCUAAUCAGAAAGCCACGGCUAACUACGU
rnacentral:rRNA from 1 species